ensembl:snRNA U4 U4 spliceosomal RNA
AGCUUUGCACAGUGGCAGUAUCGUAGCCAGUGAGGUUUAUCUGAGACACAAUUAUUGCUAAUUGAAAACUUGGGGCACCUGUGUGACCUAGGUUGAGCGUCCGACUCUUGGUUUCAGCUCAAGUCAUGAUCUCAUG